UACACACUCCAUAAAACCUGCCCUGCUGCAGCUGGGUUCCAUGCCAGGAGGAUUAAGCAAGUUUUGUUAAGACCCUUAAAGAAGCAGUGAGUGGCAGCAGUUACUGGCGCUGUCGGAGAUUUGUUGGAGUAAAGCGCCAUGAGGCUGCCUGGCCUGGUUGCAGGGAGGAGAGAGCCAUUAUCCAGAUCUGCAUUAAAGCCUGGACACUGGAGAGACAUGGAAGCCAGGAUGCCAGGUAUUCAGCUGAUCCCAUUUGAUCCUGCACCUCCAGCUGAGGAUGGGUGUGGCAGAUACCAGACAUUGUGGACCAGGAUGUAAGAACCCCUUUAGUCCCUGUGAAGUCAUCUCUAAUCCAGUGUGAAUACUUUCUCCAUGGCCAAAUUCAGUCUACCAACAUGACUCCAUCAGCGAACACAGAACUGUGAAGAGAUGUUCACACUUGAUGGGGUACUUCCCUAAUCAGUAUCCUCCAUACUGACCUCCAUCCUAGUCUGCUUCCCAGAGAACUCAGCCAGUGGUGGUUGGUGCCCGGGGGUCCAAGAAAGCAAGUAUUAAGAUGGAAUUUUGGAGCCAGAUGACUAUUUCCCAUUUGAGAGAAAGUCUUCAGGUCAAGAAUGUUGAGAAUCUGGAACACAGCUAAAUGCCUGGUACAUGCAUUUCUUCAUUUGGAAGACGUGGCAUAUGUGUACAAGAAAAGACAAGUUCAAGACCCAUGAGUUUGAGAGGGGAGAGCAUUCUGACCCACCUCAACUGCUAUUCUUCGAAAACCUACACACGGAUUAUCUCUAAAGUAAGAAGGAAGCUUUUCCCAUAAAUGAUGAGUCCUUGAAUUCCUCCUAAUCAUUGAUCAGAUAGUUUGGAGGGACCUCAAGAGACCCAGUUCUCAAAAUGGUCUGUAUAAGAAAUACCCACUUGAAUGGCUUAUCUAUGUCUGCUGUAAAGCUGUAAUUGAAGACUUUUCCA